UACGGGGGGGGCAAGCGUUGUUCGGAAUUACUGGGCGUAAAGGGCUCGUAGGCGGCCAACUAAGUCGGAUGUGAAAUCCCCAGGCUUAACCUGGGAACUGCAUCCGAUACUGGAUGGCUUGAAUCCGGGAGAGGGAUGCAGAAUUCCAGGUGUAGCGGUGAAAUGCGUAGAUAUCUGGAGGAAUACCGGUGGCGAAGGCGGCGUUCUGGACUGUUUCUGACACUGAGGAACGAAAGCCAGGGGAGCAAACGGG
rnacentral:rRNA from 1 species